UUUAACCUUCUUUCCUCUUUGCCCUAGUCUAACCGUUUAUUCUACCGUCUCUUCCGUCCAUCUGUUUUCCCUUUCUUCUUAUUUAUUUUUUCUUUUAAUUUUUCUCUUUCUUUCGAUUAGGAUUCCUCCUCAUCGGAAGUGCUUCUCAGUUCUGCAUAGCUCGUUCAGGUGCAAUUUUGUUGUUGUGAGAGAUCUCAAAGAGAUUAGAAAAUGAACCACUGUGCAAUUCAGCAGAACAGCUAUGCUGCGUGUGAAGAGAUUUGGGCCACCGCCGACAGAUCCAUGGAGAGGAAGGAGACCGUGGUUUGCCCUAAGCCACUCCGAUUCGGCCUAAACCGCAGCACUCUUGAUCCAGCUUAUGCUACACCCUUGAGAUGGCAAUUUAGGUAUAAAAAAAAUAUUGUUAUUUUAUUUAAUUUAUAUAUAUGCUCUUGAAAUUAUUUUUAACUUUUUUGUUUGGCAGCCAUCAACAAGAGGAUUAUGAUGCAAAGGCUGGAAAUGAGCUACUGGACAUAAUUCUGGCAAAGGUGGUUCGAGAUCGGACCAAUCCGCUCCACAGGUAGCCUCGUCGCCCCCAUUUUUUUCCGGGUCGCCGCCUAGUAGAGUAUCUAACCCGCUAAUUCAAGACGCUCGUUUUGGAGAUGAUAAAGUCGUCCCAGUCCCGACCCCCUCAUCCGUGAUGGCGCCAUCGGCCUCCUCUGCUCGCAAGGGCUGUGUGAGGUCUAAUUUUGGCAACAAUCCGGCCUUCCGGGUCGAGGGUUUUGACUGCCUGGACAGGGAUGGGCGCAACUGCAGCAUCCCUGCCUUGGCUUGAGAAAGAAGAGUACAUACGUAGGUUUGAGGCAUCAAAUUUUUGAAGAAGAACAAGAUAUUGGAAAAAAAGAGUAACAUUUUGAUCAGAUUGAGCUUACCUCCUACAUGUUGAUUUUGUCGUCUAUUAAUGUGUAUAUAUAUAUAUGUUGUCAUGCAAUAUGUCUGUAAUUAACCAAGUUGAGGUGAGUUGGGUCGAGUCUUUGUAAGUACAUGAGAAAGAAGUUAUUGAGCAAGGAAACAAAUUAAUAACUAGGGAGGUAUCAUCAAGGGAAAUAACCCCUCUUUGUACUUGUGUAAGUAAGUGAUGAGAAAAGGGGAUUUUCCUUUUUUUUCAUUUCGUAAUAUAUGUUUGAUGUUCAUUUUGGGGUUAGUUUGGGAUUUUGCAAAGGAGAAUAUGUAUAAAUGGAAAUUAAUAGAGUUCUUAACCUUGUGGAA